rnacentral:misc_RNA from 1 species
GUUUGUUAAACUCACCAUGAGUGAUUAACUCCUUAAAUUCUGAAAUUUAGAAAGCAGCAUUCUUGACUUUUGUUAUGGAUAUAUAUUGAGUUUUAUUUAAUAGAAUUGAGUUUUGUUCUUUGAUUCAAUCUCUUGUGUUCUUAAUGCAUGCUAUGUGUUGGUACCCACCUAGUCAUGAUCUAAGAUACUAGUUGAUGAACUGACAAGUAAAGAUUAAUACUAGAAAAUCAAGACUUUGAACCUAGAAAAUCUGACCUAGAGAUAAGCUGAUAACCUUUGUGGAGUUUUAAAAUUAAUCAUAAAUCUUAAGGGGUUUAUUAGGACUAAUCACCAACGAAAGUCGAGUUUAGCUCUAAUUGGAACACACCUUAGGUGCCUUGAGAAAGGACCUAGGAUAUUUUAAGAUUAAUUUCCAUCAAAGUGAUGAUCCUCAAUCUAAUGAAUAGACGAGAUUAAAAUCCAUAAUAAGAUUACAGUGUGAAAUCUUAAUUCUGGAAUAAUAGAUAGUUUUAUUCAAAAUUUAUUUUCAGCAUCGAAAAUAGAUUUGAUUCACCCUCCAUCUAUAUUCAGCAGCCUAAACAGUCAGAAUUGCUGUGUAGCUUGGUACUUGCUA